rnacentral:tRNA from 1 species
GCGCCCGUGGCGGAAUAGGCAGACGCGCUGGAUUUAGGUUCCAGUGUCCGACGGACGUGGGGGUUCAAGUCCCCCCGGGCGCA